UACGUAGGUGACAAGCGUUGUCCGGAAUUAUUGGGCGUAAAGGGCUCGUAGGCGGUUUGUCGCGUCGGAAGUGAAAACACGGGGCUUAACUCUGUGCUUGCUUUCGAUACGGGCAGACUAGAGGGAUGCAGGGGAGAACGGAAUUCCUGGUGUAGCGGUGAAAUGCGCAGAUAUCAGGAGGAACACCGGUGGCGAAGGCGGCCUGCUGGGCAGUUGCUGACACUGAGGCGCGACAGCGUGGGGAGCAAACAGG
rnacentral:rRNA from 1 species